ACAUAAGUUUUGGGGCUCAAUUGUGAUCUUAAAUCGAGGACCACCUGUACCUUGAAAAAUAAAAUGGUACUAGGAGGAGGAAUGGGGAUGAGACUGUCAAGGAAGUGGAAUGGCUACUACAACAUCUUCCAUAUCUAUCUCUUAUUCCCUCCCUGCCAUUCACCUGGAGUGGAAAGGUGGUUUGCGGCCUGCACUUAUGAGGCUUCUUUCUCCUACCAAAGGGGAGAAGGAUGCACGUAGAUAACAUUGAGUGCGCAUACACGAUUAGCCUAAAAUAAGGAUGGGCCUGUUUUGACUUCCUGGUAUGUCUAAACCACCUCCAAAUACCUGUUUACAUUUCACAGUCAGUGGCAAACUCAGGCAGAAAUGCAGGUCAUCUGGUUGAUGUUGCAGAUCACUCCUCUAAAAAAUGUCCCACGGUUGUUUCAGACGAAAAUUAAAAGCAAAGGAGAAAAAGAUAGGAUUAGGAGGCUUCUGUGGAAGCUAAAUAUUCUUACUAUUUACUCAGCUAUCUGGAGAGACCAGAAACUACUGAAAUGUUGUGACACACAACCCCAAAGGGUACCAUGAUUUGUGGUAUGGCACCAAAAGCUGUACGUAUAUUUAGAAGGACUAAUAAGUCAAUAUUCAGGGGUAUCCAAGAGCUAUUUCCCCUUCUAAAAAUGUAACUUGAAGAGACAGUUGCUUAUGGCUGAUAAUUAUUCUUGAUUUUUCCAAUUUGCUCAUUUCUAAAGGUAAAUCUGUUUUUUUUUCUCUCUCUCCAUAAUUCCAUAGUUUUGUUAGAAAUCUUAUGUUUCUUAUUUGAAGAAUGUACCCUUCAGCCUUUAUUUUUUUAGUGAUUCCAUACUAGGUCAAAGACUUCUUUUUAUUUCAGGUUUUGGCCGGCGAGAUGUAGUAGAAUACUUGCUUCAGAGUGGUGCUAAUGUACAUGCCCGAGAUGAUGGAGGACUCAUUCCACUUCAUAAUGCUUGCUCAUUUGGUCAUGCUGAAGUUGUCAAUCUUCUCCUGCGCCAUGGUGCAGAUCCUAACGCAAGAGACAAUUGGAAUUAUACUCCUCUUCAUGAAGCUGCCAUCAAGGGCAAAAUUGAUGUCUGCAUAGUAUUGUUGCAGCAUGGUGCUGAUCCGAGUAUUCGUAAUACUGAUGGAAGAACAGCACUUGACUUAGCAGAUCCAUCAGCAAAAGCAGUGCUUACAGGUGAAUACAAGAAAGACGAACUAUUGGAAAGUGCCAGGAGUGGAAAUGAAGAAAAAUUAAUGGCUCUUCUAACACCAUUAAAUGUCAAUUGCCACGCAAGUGAUGGCAGAAAGGUAU